UACAGAGGGUGCGAGCGUUAAUCGGAAUUACUGGGCGUAAAGCGCGCGUAGGCGGCUUUGCAAGUCGGGAUGUGAAAGUCCCCAGGCUUAACCCUGGGAAUGCAUUCGAGACUGCAUUGCUAGAGUAUGGGAGAGGGAAGUGGAAUUUCCGGUGUAGCGGUGAAAUGCGUAGAUAUCGGAAGGAACAUCAGUGGAGCGAAAGCGACUUCCUGGACCAAUACUGACGCUCAUGUGCGAAAGCGUGGGGAGCAAACAGGAUUAGACUACCUUGUAGU
rnacentral:rRNA from 1 species